rnacentral:rRNA from 1 species
UACGGAGGAUGCGAGCGUUAUCCGGAUUUAUUGGGUUUAAAGGGUGCGCAGGCUGAUACUUAAGUCAGUGGUGAAAUACUCCGGCUCAACUGGAGUGCUGCCGUUGAUACUGGGUAUCUUGAGAGUAAUUGACGUGGGCGGAAUGUGUCAUGUAGCGGUGAAAUGCAUAGAGAUGACACAGAACACCGAUAGCGAAGGCAGCUUACUGGGAUACGAACUGACGCUGAUGCACGAAAGCGUGGGGAUCAAACAGG